AAAAUUUCAGUACUUGAGGGCUGUAGAUGAUAUUGAAUUCUGCACUAUGUUUUAGGGCUUAAUUGUGAAAAAUAAAGCUUGUUUUGGUUUUAAAGACUAAAUUGAAUGAAACGAAAAACUUUAAGGAAAUUGUGAAAAUAUUAAUAGGAUGUCAUAUACAUCAAAUUGAUUGUUAAAAAUUAAUUGGGACUAAUAAAUUGAAAUAAAUUACUGUAUAGAUCAAGAACC
rnacentral:lncRNA from 1 species